AAUGGCGCUUGCCUAAACAUGCAAGUCGAACGAGGUCCAACCUUCGGGUGAAGACCUAGUGGCGAACGGGUGAGUAACACGUGGGCAAUCUGCCCUCCACACUGGGAUAACCCUCGGAAACGAGAGCUAAUACCGGAUACUUCGGGACGGUCGCAUGGCCGAUCCGAGAAAGCUCCGGCGGUGGAGGAUGAGCCCGCGGCCCAUUAGCUUGUUGGCGGGGUAACGGCCCACCAAGGCAACGAUGGGUAGCCGAGCUGAGAGGCUGAUCGGCCACACUGGGACUGAGACACGGCCCAGACUCCUACGGGAGGCAGCAGUGGGGAAUCUUGCGCAAUGGGCGAAAGCCUGACGCAGCAACGCCGCGUGCGGGAUGAAGGCUCUCGGGUCGUAAACCGCUUUCAGUAGGGACGAAACUGACUGUACCUACAGAAGAAGCCCCGGCUAAAUACGUGCCAGCAGCCGCGGUAAUACGUAUGGGGCAAGCGUUAUCCGGAUUCAUUGGGCGUAAAGAGCGCGUAGGCGGCUUGUUAAGUCGGAUGUGAAAACCGGGGGCUCAACCCCCGGCCUGCAUCUGAAACUGGCAGGCUUGAGUCUGGUAGAGGAAAGUGGAAUUCCCAGUGUAGCGGUGAAAUGCGCAGAUAUUGGGAGGAACACCAGUGGCGAAGGCGGCUUUCUGGGCCACGACUGACGCUGAGGCGCGAAAGCUAGGGGAGCAAACAGGAUUAGAUACCCUGGUAGUCCUAGCCGUAAACGAUGGGCACUAGUGUGGGGGGGUCAUCAACUCCCUCCGUGCCGCAGCUACGCAUUAAGUGCCCCGCCUGGGGGAGUACGACCGCAAGGUUAAAACUUCAAAGGAAAUUGACCGGGGGGUCGGCACA
rnacentral:rRNA from 1 species